UACGUAGGGUGCGAGCGUUGUCCGGAAUUAUUGGGCGUAAAGAGCUUGUAGGUGGUUUGUCGCGUCUGCUGUGAAAAUCCGAGGCUCAACCUCGGACUUGCAGUGGGUACGGGCAGACUAGAGUGUGGUAGGGGGAGACUGGAAUUCCUGGGUGUAGCGGUGGAAUGCGCAGAUAUCAGGAGGAACACCGAUGGCGAAGGCAGGUCUCUGGGCCAUUACUGACACUGAGAAGCGAAAGCAUGGGGAGCGAACAGG
rnacentral:rRNA from 1 species